rnacentral:misc_RNA from 1 species
CAAUGCCUUAUCGGCAGAUUCGCCCCAAAUGGCGUAUGACACUAGCCUGGAAAAAUCUUCGUUGACAAUUAAAAAUAAUUGUUAUUGACCUUGCAAAGUGGAGCUCUUUCUCAAAUUUGUAUUUGGCUAAAUCUUAAGCGAAAGUUGUUAAGUACAUAACUACAAUCAAAGGCAUUGGAUCAGAUAUCAAUGAUGAAUGGAUAAUUUAACUGCAUAAAUAUCUCCCAUUAAUACUAUCUCAUGUCGUCAAGAGUACCAUUUAUUCAAAAGUUCCAAGAGGAGAACUGCAGCAGAGUCCUUGGCCUUUUUGACGCUUGGCAUUGGCUCUCCCACACAUUCAUCAGUCCAUCCCCUAUCAUUAGUAUUCACACGAACUGCAAACGUAAACCUUUUUGCAUGUGCAGGGCCACCCUCGUUCACACACCGAUACAAGGGCAUAGGCCAAUUUCUUCGCAAGCAAAUAUCAUUUAAGGUCUGCCUGGUAAAUGUUUGGUUGCCAUUUUUCUUCUUCGUUCCAUUCUCAUCACCUUUUUCUUUAGCUUCAGCUGUUUCCUUCUCUUUCAAAACAGCAAGCGCAUUCCUAGCAGCAAGUUUCUGUGCCAUCUUCUUUUGUGGAUUCUGAGCAAGUCCUACCUGAAUACCAUCAAUAAAAACUUCAACAGUAGCCAGAUUGCCACUUCUUGAGGCUUUGUAUUCCAAGCCUUCAGCCUGUUGCUGGCACCGUUCUUGCAGCUCCCUGACAGGAUGCAUCGGGAGUGUUUCUGGAGUGACCAUUGGGUGCAACAAAGGUUGAAAAACCUUCCAAACGACUGCAGUAUCCCGUCCACUGUCUAGGAAAAUAGAACCUGCUAUAGAUUCAACAAUGUCACCAAGAACCUUCGGAGCUUUGCAAUCUCCCAAACCAAAGGAGUUGAAACCAGGUUUUGAUAAUUCAUCUUGAACUUCCUUCACAAAAUCACGAAUCUGCUUUUCCAGAGCACUUGACCCAUGCCGAAGAUGCACAUGGAGCUUAUGUUUAACAGCAACACGUGCAAAGUUUUCAUUGUUUACAGCAGCAGCUCGCAAAUCUGUCAAGCGACCUGGGGGAAGAUUUGUGUAUGUGAAAAACAAGUGCCUUGUAAUCAGAUGAUCUAAGACUGCAUCACCAACAAAUUCUAAUCGUUGAUAACAGGAUACUCCAGAAGAUGGUCGCGACGCAUGAGUGAUCGCUUCAACCAAGAGGCCCCGGUCAUUGAACUUAAUGUUCAAGGAACCUUCUAAGGCAUCAAAAUUGACACUCCUAAGUAUACUUUCCGGAACAUUGGCUGGCUUUAUUGCCGAAUCUACCUCUUCAUGGUCAAACUCUACCUGAAUCCCAAUCCAUUUCAUGAGGUGGUUCGCUGCAUUCUUACCACCUUCAACAUAAUAAACACCAAUCAAUGCUUCAACAACAUCUGCCAAUGUCUUGCUAGAGAGAACUCUAUAAGAACUAGAGUCGCUCUCAAGUUCACCAUCCUCAAUUUCAUCAUCUUGAUAUCCAUCAUCAGCAUGAUCCACUCCUGGUUUAUCCUCAGAAAGCAAUCUUUCCUGAUCAAAUAAGGAGGAUUCUCCAUCCUUUGUAUCCUCAUCGAAAACAGGCAACACCCCAG